UACGUAGGGUGCAAGCGUUGUCCGGAAUUAUUGGGCGUAAAGAGCUCGUAGGCGGUGUGUCACGUCGAUCGUGAAAACUUACAGCUUAACUGUGAGCGUGCGGUCGAUACGGGCAUCACUGGAGUUCGGCAGGGGAGACUGGAAUUCCUGGUGUAGCGGUGAAAUGCGCAGAUAUCAGGAGGAACACCGGUGACGAAGGCGGGUCUCUGGGCCGAUACUGACGCUGAGGAGCGAAAGCGUGGGGAGCGAACAGG
rnacentral:rRNA from 1 species